GUUUUAGGGCCCCCAUGUCCUGAAUUUCAGGGCCACCAUGUCCCAGGUUUUAGGCCAUUAUGUCCCGGCCUUAGGGCCCCCACGUCCCAGGUUUUAGGGCCCCCAUGUCCCAACCUUAGGGCCACCACAUCCCAGGUUUCAGGGCCCCCACAUCCCAGGUUUAAGGGCCACCAUGUCCUGAAUUUCAGGACCACCACGUCCCAGGUUUUAGGGCCACCAUGUCCUGAAUUUCAGAGCCCCCACGUCCCAACCUUAGGGCCCCCACAUCCCAGGUUUCAGGGCCACCAUGUCCUGAAUUUCAG
rnacentral:lncRNA from 1 species